AGCGGCGUAAGGGUGCGUAACACGUGGGUAAUUUGCCAUGAAGUUGGGAAUAACUCCGAGAAAUCGGAGCUAAUGCCGAAUGUGGUUGCUGGGGGCAUCUCCGGGUUACUAAAGUUGGGGACCGAAAGGCCUGACGCUUCAUGAUAAGCCCGCGCCCUAUCAGCUAGUUGGUGAGGUAACGGCCCACCAAGGCUAAGACGGGUAGCUGGUCUGAGAGGACGACCAGCCACACUGGAACUGAGACACGGUCCAGACACCUACGGGUGGCAGCAGUCGAGAAUUUUUCACAAUGGGCGCAAGCCUGAUGGAGCGACGCCGCGUGGGGGAUGAAGGGCUUCGGCCCGUAAACCCCUGUCAUUUGCGAACAAACCUUUCCCGUGAACAGCGGGAAAGCUGAUGGUAGCGAAAGAGGAAGGGACGGCUAACUCUGUGCCAGCAGCCGCGGUAAUACAGAGGUCCCAAGCGUUGUUCGGAUUCACUGGGCGUAAAGGGUGCGUAGGUGGUGAGGUAAGUCGGAUGUGAAAGCUCUGAGCUCAACUCAGAAAUGGCAUUGGAAACUACCUUGCUUGAGGAUUGGAGGGGGGACUGGAAUUCUCGGUGUAGCAGUGAAAUGCGUAGAGAUCGAGAGGAACACCAGUGGCGAAGGCGAGUCCCUGGACAAAUCCUGACGCUGAGGCACGAAAGCUAGGGGAGCAAACAGGAUUAGAUACCCUGGUAGUCCUAGCCGUAAACGAUGUGCACUUGCUGUAGGCGGAAUCGACCCCGUCUGUGGCGAAGCUAACGCGAUAA
rnacentral:rRNA from 1 species